CAGUGAUCACUUUAACGGCCGCGGUACCCUGACCGUGCAAAGGUAGCAUAAUCAUUUGCCUUUUAAUUGGAGGCUAGUAUGAAUGGUCCGACGAGAGUAAAGCUGUCUCAUAUAUAUUCAAUAUAAAUUAACCUAAAGGUGCAAAGGCCUUUAUCUGAUAAAAAGACGAGAAGACCCUGUUGAGCUUUAAUCUUAACGAGCAUCUUUUCUAUAUUUAUAAAUUUAUUUUGCUCGCUAAAGAUUUUAAUUGGGGCGAUUAAGGAACACUCAUCAGCUUCCUGAUUAUAAGUUAAAUCGAUCCAGCAAUGUUGAUCAACAAAAUGAGUUACCACAGGGAUAACAGCAUAAUUCUUCUUGAGAGUCCAUAUCGAAAGAAGAGAUUGUGACCUCGAUGUUGGACUAGGGUAACCAGAAGGUGCAGCCGCUUUCUUGUUUGGUCUGUUCGACCAAUAAUUCCCU
rnacentral:rRNA from 1 species